UACAGAGGUCUCAAGCGUUGUUCGGAUUCAUUGGGCGUAAAGGGUGCGUAGGUGGCGCCAUAAGUCAGGUGUGAAAUCUCGGGGCUCAACCUCGAAACUGCACUUGAUACUGUGGUGCUUGAGUACUGGAGAGGAGAUUGGAAUUUACGGUGUAGCAGUGAAAUGCGUAGAUAUCGUAAGGAGGACCAGUGGCGAAGGCGAAUCUCUGGACAGUUACUGACACUGAGGCACGAAGGCCAGGGGAGCAAACGGG
rnacentral:rRNA from 1 species